rnacentral:rRNA from 4 species
CGAUCUCAAAUCAAGUAAGACUACCCGCUGAAC